GAAGGGGGCUAGCGUUGCUCGGAAUCACUGGGCGUAAAGGGUGCGUAGGCGGGUCUUUAAGUCAGGGGUGAAAUCCUGGAGCUCAACUCCAGAACUGCCUUUGAUACUGAAGAUCUUGAGUAUGGGAGAGGUGAGUGGAACUGCGAGUGUAGAGGUGAAAUUCGUAGAUAUUCGCAAGAACACCAGUGGCGAAGGCGGCUCACUGGCCCAUAACCGACGCUGAGGCACGAAAGCGUGGGGGGAGCAAACAGGAUUAGAUACCCUGGUAGUCCACGCCGUAAACGAUGAAUGCCCAGCCGUUCGUGGGUUUACUCACAAGUGGCGCAGCUAACGCUUUAAGCAUUCCGCCCUGGGAGUACGGUCGCAAGAUUAA
rnacentral:rRNA from 1 species